rnacentral:rRNA from 1 species
UACGUAGGGUGCAAGCGUUGUCCGGAAUUAUUGGGCGUAAAGAGCUCGUAGGCGGUUUGUCGCGUCUGCUGUGAAAACUCGGGGCUUAACCCCGGGCCUGCAGUGGGUACGGGCAGACUAGAGUGCGGUAGGGGAGACUGGAAUUCCUGGUGUAGCGGUGAAAUGCGUAGAUAUCUGGAGGAACACCGGUGGCGAAGGCGGCAUCCUGGACCAAUAUUGACGCUGAGGAGCGAAAGCUAGGGGAGCAAACGGG